CGAGGAAACUUGUGCUAAUACCGGAUAAGUCUUUACGGAGAAAGCUUUAUGCACCAUUGGAUGAGCCUGCACUUGAUUAGUUUGUUGGUGGGGUAAUGGCCUACCAAGACUUUGAUCAAUAGCUGAUUUGAGAGGAUGAUCAGCCACAUUGGGACUGAGACACGGCCCAAACUCCUACGGGAGGCAGCAGUGGGGAAUCUUGCACAAUGGAGGAAACUCUGAUGCAGCGAUGCCGCGUGAGUGAAGAAGGCCCUUGGGUUGUAAAGCUCUUUCGUCGGGGAAGAAAAUGACUGUACCCGAAUAAGAAGGUCCGGCUAACUUCGUGCCAGCAGCCGCGGUAAUACGAAGGGACCUAGCGUAGUUCGGAAUUACUGGGCUUAAAGAGUUCGUAGGUGGUUGAAAAAGUUGGUGGUGAAAUCCCAGAGCUUAACUCUGGAACUGCCAUCAAAACUUUUCAGCUAGAGUUUGAUAGAGGAAAGCAGAAUUUCUAGUGUAGAGGUGAAAUUCGUAGAUAUUAGAAAGAAUACCAAUUGCGAAGGCAGCUUUCUGGAUCAUUACUGACACUGAGGAACGAAAGCAUGGGUAGCGAAGAGGAUUAGAUACCCUCGUAGUCCAUGCCGUAAACGAUGUGUGUUAGACGUUGGAAAUUUAUUUUCAGUGUCGCAGCGAAAGCGAUAAACACACCGCCUGGGGAGUACGACCGCAAGGUUAAAACUCAAAUGAAUUGACGGGGACCCGCACAAGUAGUGGAGCAUGUGGUUUAAUUCGAAGAUACGCGCAGAACCUUACCAACACUUGACAUGUUCGUCGCGACUUUAAGAGAUUAAAGUUUUCGGUUCGGCCGGACGAAACACAGGUGCUGCAUGGCUGUCGUCAGCUCGUGUCGUGAGAUGUUGGGUUAAGUCCCGCAACGAGCGCAACCCUCACUUUU
rnacentral:rRNA from 1 species